CAGGAUGAACGCUAGCGGCAGGCUUAAUACAUGCAAGGCGAAGGGGCAGCAAUGUCACUGUCGUACGGGUGCGUAACGCGUAUGCAACCUACCUAUCACUGGGGGAUAGCCCGGGGAAACCCGGAUUAAUACCGCAUAAAACAGGGGCACCGCAUGGUGAUAUUUGUUAAAGAUUUAUUGGUGAUAGAUGGGCAUGCGUUCGAUUAGCUAGUUGGCGGGGUAACGGCCCACCAAGGCGACGAUCGAUAGGGGAGCUGAGAGGUUGAUCCCCCACACGGGCACUGAGAUACGGGCCCGACUCCUACGGGAGGCAGCAGUAGGGAAUAUUGGGCAAUGGAUGCAAGUCUGACCCAGCCAUGCCGCGUGCCGGAUGAAGGCCCUCAGGGUUGUAAACGGCUUUUAUUCGGGAAGAAGAGCAGGGAUGCGUCCUUGUGUGACGGUACC
rnacentral:rRNA from 1 species